rnacentral:lncRNA from 1 species
GCCCCUCAUAACCUGCACCCUCAAAGCCGGUCACUCACGCCCCUGUAGGAACCACCAUUCUCCUCCUAGCCCCGUGGCCUGCUCCUUUCAGCCCCAGGCAGAACCGAGGAGGACAGUGUGGCCAGCCAGGCACUGCCAGGCCAGACACCUCGCUGUGCAGGGCUGGGAGGAGGGGGCAGCCGGCGCCUUUGCCCCAGCCUUGGGGAGUUGGCAAAGCAUUCUUCCUGCAAGCUCCAUGGCAGCAGCCAGCAGUGCAGACAGAGCUCCAAGAUGGACAGACACAUGGACAGAGAGCACCGAAUCCAUGCUCUCUGGGGGGGCCUGGUCCUUCCCUUUGGGCAGCUCUAUCAAGCCCAGGGGUAGGGUCCAGUGGCAGCCCCCUUGGGUAGGACGCAGCCUGGGAUGGGAAGAGGAUGUUUCCUGACCAGCCGAGGCUGAUGCAUGGCAGUGUUAGUCACCCCUUCACAGAGCAGCUGUGCCCUCCAGUAGCCCCUUCUCUCCACUUUACCUGCCAAAGUGUCUCUCCUGGGCACCCCUGCCCACACUGGCACAGUUCAACCGGGUGCAAGAGCCCCCGUGUCACUUAAAAGUAUCCUCCUCUAUGACUUCAUGUAAGAGAAAUCUUUAGAGAUCUUCUAAAGAUAGAUUUAAAGGUCAAAGAUUUGGUUCUAAUCUCAGCAUUGCCCCUUUGUACCUCUGAUUUGAGCAAAUUAUGUAAUUGUCUAGGCCUAUUUUUUCCAAAGACUAACAAUAGUACCUAUUUAGCAAGGUUAUUUUAACAAUGAGAUCUAAUAAUGUAUGUGAAAUUUCCUGUACAAAAAGAAGUGAUCAGGGCUUGGGAUGUGGCUCAGUGGUAGAACACUUACCUGACAUGCACAACAUCCUGGGUUCAAUCCCCAGUAUUGCAAAAAAAUAAACAAAUUCAUUAAAUACAUGCUCAAUGCAUGGCAAUGCAUGCUAUAGUCACCUAGGCGUAACAGACCCACAUCCAGCAUUUGGGAAGCACAGUUCUUGCUGUGGGGCUGUCCUGUGUCCUGCAGGGUGGUUAGCAGCGUCCCCACCCUCUCCACUCUGGAUGUCCAUAGCACUCCUUUCUCCUGUUUGUGACAACCAAAAAUGUCUCCACACCUUGACAGUCCCAUCCUGCACUGAGCACCACUGUCCUGGGCAGCAGAGCAGACCCUCACUCCUCCAGCCAUCCACCACCUACCUGCCUCCUGAAGGGCACUGCUCCUCAGCUCCCCCAGCCCAGACACUUCUCCCGCUGUUGCAGUCACUGGGAGAAGCCAGACCAACCAGCUCACUGCAUCUAGGAAAGGCAGCCUGACCAGCUGCCAUGGCCCAACUCCACAGGAAGGCCAGCGCUGGCUGGGAGUGGUCACGAGGAGUGUGGGGG